rnacentral:rRNA from 1 species
GACGAACGCUGGCGGCGUGCUUAACACAUGCAAGUCGAACGCUGAAGCUUGGUGCUUGCACUGGGUGGAUGAGUGGCGAACGGGUGAGUAAUACGUGAGUAACCUGCCCUUGACUCUGGGAUAAGCCUGGGAAACUGGGUCUAAUACUGGAUACGACAUGUCACCGCAUGGUGGUGUGUGGAAAGGGUUUUACUGGUUUUGGAUGGGCUCACGGCCUAUCAGCUUGUUGGUGGGGUAAUGGCUCACCAAGGCGACGACGGGUAGCCGGCCUGAGAGGGUGACCGGCCACACUGGGACUGAGACACGGACCAGACUCCUACGGGAGGCAGCAGUGGGGAAUAUUGCACAAUGGGCGGAAGCCUGAUGCAGCGACGCCGCGUGAGGGAUGACGGCCUUCGGGUUGUAAACCUCUUUCAGCAAGGAAGAAGCGAAAGUGACGGUACGUGCAGAAGAAGCGCCGGCUAACUACGUG